rnacentral:rRNA from 1 species
AUGUUGAUGCAAGACUACUUCGCGGAGAAUCCAACAUAUCCGCCGCACCUCUUCCGGAGAAGGUACCGAUUGCGCCGAUCCCUCUUUGUGAAAGUUCAAGCUUGCGAGGCAAAUUGUUGGUAUUUUACUCAAAGAAGAAAUGUUGCGAGCUUAAAGGGAUUUAGUGCAUAUCAAAAAAUCUCCGCAGCUAUGCGGGUGAUUGCAUAUGGCGUUCCGGCUGACUAUGCCGAUGAGUACCUGAUAUAG